ensembl:lncRNA
GGUACCAGUACAGAGUCAAUGUGGAGGCUAUAUACAGGGUAUUACGGUACAGAGUCAAUGUGGAGGCUAUAUACAGGGGGUACUGGUACAGAGUCAAUGUGGAGACUAUAUACAGGGGGUAACGGUACAGAGUCAAUGUGGAGGCUAUAUACAGGGGGUACCGGUACAGAGUCAAUGUGGAGGCUAUAUACAGGGGUACCGGUACAGAGUCAAUGUGGAGGCUAUAUACAGGGUAUUACGGUACAGAGUCAAUGUGGAGGCUAUAUACACGGGGUACCGGUACAGAGUCAAUGUGGAGGCUAUAUACAGGGGGUACCGGUACAGAGUCAAUGUGGAGGCUAUAUACAGGGUAUUACGGUACAGAGUCAAUGUGGAGGCUAUAUACAGGGUGUUACGGUACAGAGUCAAUCUGGAGGCUAUAUACAGGGGGCACGGGUGCUGAGUCAAUGUGUGGGGGCGCCGGUUAGUUGAGGUAGUAUGUACAUGUAGGUAGAGUUAAUUAAAGUGACUAUGCAUAGAUGACAACAGAGAGUGGCAGUGGUGUGGAGAGGUGGGGGGUGAAUUGUCUGGGUAGUCCUUUGACUAGGUGUUCAGGAGUCUUAUGGCUUGGGGGUAGAAGCAGUUAAGAAGCCUCUUGGACCUCGACUUGGCACUCCGGUACCGCUUGCUGUGGGGUAGCAGAGAGAACAGUCUAUGGCUAGGGUGGCUGGAGUCUUUGACAAUUCUUUAGUCUUUCCUCUGACACCGCCUGGUAU